UACGGGGGGAGCAAGCGUUGUUCGGAUUUACUGGGCGUAAAGGGCGCGUAGGCGGCCAGCACAAGUCAGUUGUGAAAUCUCCGAGCUUAACUCGGAAAGGUCAACUGAUACUGUGCGGCUAGAGUGCAGAAGGGGCAACUGGAAUUCUUGGUGUAGCGGUGAAAUGCGUAGAUAUCAAGAGGAACACCUGCGGCGAAGGCGGAUUGCUGGGCUGACACUGACGCUGAGGCGCGAAAGCUAGGGGAGCGAACGGG
rnacentral:rRNA from 1 species